CCACCUUCCUGGAUCCUUCCAGCAUGUUCUACCUCUGCUGGGACCACAAGGAACAGGAGCUGAUGGGGUUGAGCUGCACAUCCACACAACUGGCUGGGUGGCAUCUGGAUUCAGCCCUCAUGGAGAGCUGCCUGGGUCUGACGUUGUGACAAGAGGUGCCUUCCAAAAGGGCAGCAUCUGCUUCUCUAGACCCAUCAAACUGAACUGACCCAAGAAGGUUCUUCACCUCUGACCUGAGACUGCACAAUGUUGUGUUUGCUUGGCUUCUCUGGGCCUCUGAUUAUGGGACAUGAGGCACGGAAUACCAGAUCACAUCCUUG